UACGGAUUCAUUCAAGGGAAUUUCUCGGUGCUGGAAGGGGAAGCUGUGGCACUUCUUGAAGGCAUGUACUUAGGACGGGAACACGGAGUUGAAGACGUUAUCUUCGAAACUGACAGCCAAUCUCUUUAUUGGUUGCUUCAUAAGCGAGAGGAUGAUCUUUCCUACUUGGGAAACACGCUGCGAGAUAUCAACAGGGAGAUGGAUUCUUUUAGCCUUGCAAUGCUCAGCUGGACGCCUAGAGAUGGAAACUUUGUUGCUGACAAGCUUGCUUCUUUUGCUCUUUGUAAUUUUUCUUCUCUUUCG
rnacentral:lncRNA from 1 species